UACAGAGGGUGCGAACGUUGCUCGGAAUUACUGGGCGUAAAGCGCGUGUAGGCGGGUCGGCAAGUCAGGCGUGAAAUCCCCAGGCUCAACCUGGGAACUGCGCUUGAAACUGCCGGUCUUGAGUAUCGGAGAGGGUGGCGGAAUUCCUGGUGUAGAGGUGAAAUUCGUAGAUAUUGGGAAGAACACCGGUGGCGAAGGCGGCCAUCUGGACCGGUAUUGACGCUGAGGCGCGAAAGCGUGGGGAGCAAACAGG
rnacentral:rRNA from 1 species